rnacentral:rRNA from 1 species
UACGGGGGGGGCAAGCGUUGUUCGGAAUUACUGGGCGUAAAGGGCUUGUAGGCGGCCAACUAAGUCAUACGUGAAAUCCCUCGGCUUAACCGGGGAACUGCGUCUGAUACUGGAUGGCUUGAGAUUGGGAGAGGGAUGCGGAAUUCCAGGUGUAGCGGUGAAAUGCGUAGAUAUCUGGAGGAACACCGGUGGCGAAGGCGGCAUCCUGGACCGGCAUUGACGCUGAGGCGCGAAAGCCAGGGGAGCAAACGGG